GCGGGGAUGGCGAAAUCGGCAGACGCAGCGGACUUAAAAUCCGCUGGGAGGAAACUCCCGUCCGGGUUCGAGUCCCGGUCCCCGCACCA
rnacentral:tRNA from 1 species